GACGAACGCUGGCGGCGUGCUUAACACAUGCAAGUCGUACGGUAAGGCCCUUUCGGGGGUACACGAGUGGCGAACGGGUGAGUAACACGUGAGUAACCUGCCCACAACUUUGGGAUAACGCUAGGAAACUGGUGCUAAUACUGGAUAUGUGCUCCUGCUGCAUGGUGGGGGUUGGAAAGCUCCGGCGGUUGUGGAUGGACUCGCGGCCUAUCGGCUUGUUGGUGGGGUAGUGGCUUACCAAGGCGGCGACGGGUAGCCGGCCUGCGAGGGUGACCGGCCACAUUGGGACCGAGAGACGGCCCAGACUCCUACGGGAGGCAGCAGUGGGGAAUAUUGCACAAGGGGCGCAAGCCUGGUGCAGCAACGCCGCGUGCGGGAUGACGGCCUUCGGGUUGUAAACCGCUUUCAGCAGGGACGAAGCUUUUUGUGACGGUACCUGCAGAAGAAGCACCGGCUAACUACGUG
rnacentral:rRNA from 1 species